rnacentral:rRNA from 1 species
AGGAUGAACGCUGGCGGCGUGCCUAACACAUGCAAGUCGAACGUCCUGUCUCGCAAGAGGCAGGGAGUGGCGGACGGGUGAGUACCACGUGGGUCAUCUACCGUGAGGUGAGGAAUACCGGCGAGAAAUCGCCGACAAGACCGCAUAGGCUCGAUGCAAGUCGAGCAAAGCUCUUUCGAGAGAGGGAGCGCCACACGAGGAGCCUGCGCCCGAUUAGCUAGCUGGUGGAGUAACGGUUCACCAGGGCGACGAUCGGUAGCUGGUCUGAGAGGACGAUCAGCCACACUGGGGUUGAGAACGGCCCAGACUCCUACGGGGGGCAGCAGUGAGGAAUUUUCGUCAAUGGGGGCAACCCUGAACGAGCAACGCCGCGUGCAGGAAGAAGGUUUUCGGAUCGUAAACUGCUUUUCUCGGGGAAGAGAAUGGACGGUACCCGAGGAAUCGACGCCCCGGCUAACUACGUGCCAGCAGCCGCGGU